rfam:Isaria fumosorosea ARSEF 2679 scaffold_16, whole genome shotgun sequence.
GGCGAUAUGGCCGAGUGGUUAAGGCGGUCGACUCAAGGCUAGGCCUUAUCACCUUCAAGGUGGUUUCGACUGACGCAAGUCGCUUGGGUUCGAAUCCCAAUGUCGUCA